rnacentral:rRNA from 1 species
AUACGUAGGUGGCAAGCGUUGUCCGGAAUUAUUGGGCGUAAAGCGCGCGCAGGCGGUCCUUUAAGUCUGAUGUGAAAGCCCACGGCUCAACCGUGGAGGGUCAUUGGAAACUGGGGGACUUGAGUGCAGAAGAGGAAAGUGGAAUUCCAAGUGUAGCGGUGAAAUGCGUAGAGAUUUGGAGGAACACCAGUGGCGAAGGCGACUUUAUGGUCUGUAACUGACGCUGAGGCGCGAAAGCGUGGGGAGCAAACAGGAUUAGAUACCCUGGUAGUCCACGCCGUAAACGAUGAGUGCUAAGUGUUAGGGGGUUUCCGCCCCUUAGUGCUGCAGCUAACGCAUUAAGCGCUCCGCCUGGGGAGUACGGUCGCAAGACUGAAACUCAAAGGAAUUGACGGGG